UCGUCCUGCGCGGAAGAUGUAACGGGGCUGUAAGCCAAUAACCGAAGAUGCGGAUGUGUAUGUCCUUCGGGAUAUACGCAUGGUAGGAGAGCGUUCCGUAGGCCUGUGAAGGUUAGGUGUAAACCUGGCUGGAGGUAUCGGAAGUGCGAAUGCUGACAUGAGUAGCGAUAAAGCGGGUGAAAAGCCCGCUCGCCGAAAGCCCAAGGUUUCCUGCGCAACGUUCAUCGGCGCAGGGUGAGUCGGCCCCUAAGGUGAGGGCGAAAGCCGUAGCUGAUGGGAAUCUGGUUAAUAUUCCAGAACCGCCGUGCAAUGCGAUGGGGGGACGGAGAAGGUUAGGCAGACCGGGUGUUGGAUGUCCCGGUGAAGCGUGUAGAGGGAUCCCUUAGGCAAAUCCGGGGGGUCAACCUCAAGGCGCGGGACCAGGGUUCUUUUGAAUCCGAAGCUGCUGAUACCAAGCUCCCAGGAAAAGCCUCUAAGCUUCAGUUGCAUGGGACCGUACCGUAAUCGGACACUCGUGGGCAGGAUGAAAAUUCUAAGGCGCUUGAGAGAACUCAGGAGGAGGAACUCGGCAAAUUGACACCGUAACUUCGGAAGAAGGUGUGCCCUGGUAGGUUGUAGCCGUACAGGCGAAGGCCGAAGGGGUUGCAAAAAAUCGGUGGCUGCGACUGUUUAAUAAAAACACAGCACUCUGCAAACACGAUGAGUGGACGUAUAGGGUGUGACGCCUGCCCGGUGCCGGAAGGUUAAAUGAUGGGGUGCAAGCUCUUGAUUGAAGCCCCGGUAAACGGCGGCCGUAACAAUAACGGUCCUGAGGUAGCGAAAUUCCUUGUCGGGUAAGUUCCGACCUGCACGAAUGGCGUAACGAUGGCCACACUGUCUCCUCCUGAGACUCAGCGAAGUUGAAAUGUUUGUGAUGAUGCAAUCUACCCGCGGCUAGACGGAAAGACCCCGUGCACCUUUACUGUAGCUUUGCAUUGGACUGUGAUGGGAUCUGUGUAGGAUAGGUGGGAGGCUUUGAAGUGGGGGCGCUAGCCCUCAUGGAGCCGACGUUGAAAUACCACCCUGAUGUCAUUGCGGUUCUAACCUUGGCCCCUUAGCGGGGUUGGGGACAGUGCAUGGUAGGCAGUUUGACUGGGGCGGUCUCCUCCCAAAGAGUAACGGAGGAGCUCGAAGGUACGCUAGGUACGGUCGGACAUCGUGCUGAUAGUGCAAUGGCACAAGCGUGCUUGACUGCGAGACUGACAAGUCGAGCAGGUGCGAAAGCAGGACAUAGUGAUCCGGUGGUUCUGAAUGGAAGGGCCAUCGCUCAACGGAUAAAAGGUACGCCGGGGAUAACAGGCUGAUUCCUCCCAAGAGUUCAUAUCGACGGGGGAGUUUGGCACCUCGAUGUCGGCUCAUCACAUCCUGGGGCUGUAGCCGGUCCCAAGGGUAUGGCUGUUCGCCAUUUAAAGUGGUACGUGAGCUGGGUUUAAAACGUCGUGAGACAGUUUGGUCCCUAUCUGCCGUGGGCGUUGGACGUUUGAGGGGGGCUGCUCCUAGUACGAGAGGACCGGAGUGGACGCACCUCUGGUGUACCGGUUAUCACGCCAGUGGUAUUGCCGGGUAGCUAAGUGCGGAAGAGAUAAGCGCUGAAAGCAUCUAAGCGCGAAACUUGCCUCGAGAUGAGACGUCCCGUGAUGUAAGUCACCUAAAGGGUCGCGGUAGACCACCGCGUUGAUAGGUCGGGUGUGGAAGCGCAGUAAUGCGUUAAGCUAACCGAUACUAAUUGCCCGUGCGGCUUGAUC
rnacentral:rRNA from 1 species